UACAGAGAGUGCAAGCGUUAAUCGGAAUUAUUGGGCGUAAAGCGCACGUAGGUGGAUGCUUAAGUCGGAUGUGAAAGCCCUGGGCUUAACCUGGGAAUGGCAUUCGAUACUGGGCAUCUAGAGUAUAGUAGAGGGAAGUGGAAUUUCAGGUGUAGCGGUGAAAUGCGUAGAUAUCUGAAGGAACACCAGUGGCGAAAGCGGCUUCCUGGACUAAUACUGACACUGAGGUGCGAAAGCGUGGGGAGCAAACAGG
rnacentral:rRNA from 1 species